rnacentral:rRNA from 1 species
GACGAACGCUGGCGGCGUGCUUAACACAUGCAAGUCGAACGCUGAAGGCUCAGCUUGCUGGGCUGGAUGAGUGGCGAACGGGUGAGUAACACGUGAGUAACCUGCCCUCUUCUUUGGGAUAACGGUCGGAAACGGCUGCUAAUACCGGGUAUUCACUGUCCUUCGCAUGGGGGGUGGUGGAAAGGUUUUUUCUGGUGGUGGAUUGCUCUCGACCUGUCUGCAUGGUGGUGGUGUUAUGGCACACAAUGCUGUGUCGGUGAUUGGUCGGAUUGGUGUUAUCUGGUGGAUUGUGAUUAAUGUCAUCCUGACCCUGAUCUUUGUCGCUUUGUUUCAUAGAAGCAUUAAGACCAUGUUUCCCACUGUAUUGUAAAGUGUAUUUUUUUACUGGUUGCCACCUCGCCUUCAGUAGGCGGUUCGUGUGAUGUUAUAGAUUGAAUAAAUGUCAUUUCGGAUGCUUUCCUCUUGAUUCUUGGGUGGUUCUUUGGAUAGUUUGGGGGGGGUUGGUGGUCCGUAUUGUGUGUUGUAUGCUUUGAUUGAUGUGGUUUUUUUGGCUGGUGUUUGUGUGUGUGAAUGUGAGAAUCUUGAUGAUUUUACGUGAAUACCCUGUGCCUGGUGAUGUUUUCUUCUAUAUGUGUUGUGUGAAAAGGAAAUUAGGUGGAUUGUGUUGGAUUGUGUGUUUUGUUUGUUUUGGGUUGGGUUUCUGCUGUGCUGAAAAAAAAAAAUGAAUAGAUGUGUUUGUGUUGGUGUGGUGUUGGUUGGCUGAUGUGAUAAUUGGAGUGGAAAAUGUUAUGCGUGGUGAUGUGCCUCCCUGUCUCCCCUCUGUGUUUCUGUCUCUGUGUGUGGCACUCGUGGUG